GGUGAUAUUUUUAUAAUGAAUGUGGGAUAUAUGAGUAUAUGAGGAGGUAGAGUAUUUUGUGGCAUUAAAUGUUUAACACAUGUUUUGUGUGUCGGUGGACACAAUUCUUGACCGAAAAUUGAUUAUAGACUGUAAAAUCGUCCGUUUAUGGAUUUUGGUCAAUUUCUGUUUGGAAUUUGAAAAAACUUUCUUCUGCAAAGUUGUAGAGAAUG
rnacentral:lncRNA from 1 species